UACGUAGGCAGCGAGCGUUGUUCGGAGUUACUGGGCGUAAAGCGUGCGUAGGCGGUGUCUUAAGUUUGUUGUGAAAUCUCCCGGCUUAACCGGGAGGGUGCGGCGAAUACUGAGAUGCGUGGAGUGCCGGAGAGGUAAGCGGGAAUUCCUGGUGUAGCGGUGAAAUGCGUAGAUAUCAGGAGGAACACCUGCGGUGUAGACGGCUUACUGGACGGUAACUGACGCUGAGACGCGAAAGCGUGGGGAGCGAACGG
rnacentral:rRNA from 1 species